rnacentral:rRNA from 1 species
CAAGACCGGUGCCAGCCGCCGCGGUAACACCGGCGGCUCGAGUGGUAACCGUUAUUAUUGGGUCUAAAGGGUCUGUAGCCGGCCGGAUAAGUCUCUUGAGAAAUCCAGCAGCUCAACUGUUGGGCUUUCAGGAGAUACUGUUCGGCUCGAGGCCGGGAGAGGUGAGAGGUACUUCAGGGGUAGGGGUGAAAUCUUGUAAUCCUUGAAGGACCACCAGUGGCGAAGGCGUCUCACCAGAACGGACCUGACGGCAAGGGACGAAAGCUAGGGGCACGAACCGGAUUAGAUACCCGGGUAGUCCUAGCCGUAAACGAUACUCGCUAGGUGUCGGCCACGGUGCGACCGUUGUCGGUGCCGUAGGGAAGCCGUGAAGCGAGC